rnacentral:rRNA from 1 species
CAAUCUAUCCUUAGGGGUACUCUGAUGCAGCCAUGCCGCGUGAGUGAUGAAGGUCUUCGGAUUGUAAAGCUCUUUCGCGGGGACGAUAAUGACGGUACCCGUAGAACAAGCCCCGGAUAGCUUCUGGCCAGCAACCGCGGUAAUACUACGUGCCAGCAGCCGCGGUAAUA